AAAAAGUUUUCCGAUCCAAUUGGAAAAAGUGUGGUAUAUAGUGGUAGGAACUUAAAGAAAAUUUAGCGUCUUACAAGUCCAUUAGGUCCUUAAGAACAAACAGGUGACUGGGUAUCUCACCAGAAAUGUCUAAAGCAUAAAUCUUCAGAGGAGUGAUGUGGCAGAUGUUUCCAAGGCAGUCACAAGCAACUCGAGGAUUAGCAUUUUCGUUAGACCAUACUGCAUUCUGAGCACAAGGAUCAGU
rnacentral:misc_RNA from 1 species